rnacentral:tRNA from 1 species
GCGGGCGUGGCGAAAUUGGUAGACGCGCUGGAUUUAGGUUCCAGUGGGGCGACCCGUGGAAGUUCAAGUCUUCUCGUCCGCACCA